GUCCAGGUGGCGAAAUUGGUAGACGCGCUACCUUGAGGGGGUAGUGGGAGUUUUCCCGUGCUGGUUCAACUCCAGUCCUGGACA
rnacentral:tRNA from 2 species